AGAGAGAGACAUGCGCGCAUAUCAAUAAGCGGAGGAAAAGAAACUAACUAGGAUUCCCUCAGUAACGGCGAGUGAAGCGGGAAGAGCUCAAAUUUGAAAUCUUAAAGGGUUUUCCCUUGACGAAUUGUAGUUUAAAGAAGUGUUUUCUGUUGAAGUUUUGGUAAAAGUUCUUUGGAAUAGGACAUCAUAGAGGGUGAGAAUCCCGUAUUUGACCAUUAUUUUCAGCUGUGUGGUACACUUUCAAAGAGUCGGAUUGUUUGGGAAUGCAGUCCAAAAUGGGUGGUAAAUUUCAUCUAAAGCUAAAUAUUGGCGAGAGACCGAUAGCGAACAAGUACCGUGAGGGAAAGAUGAAAAGAACUUUGAAAAGAGAGUUAAACAGUACGUGAAAUUGUCAAAAGGGAAGCGUUUGACACCAGUGUUGUUUUCUCGAAAAUCAAUUAAAAAAGGCAGGAUUUUGUGUUGUAUUGACUUUAUCAGCUUUCUGCACUCUUUUCUUGUCUUUUUUUAAUGCACUUUUCGUUUAACAAGUCAACAUCAAUUUCUUUUGUUGUAAAAGGGUCAUUGGAAGGUGGCUUUCUUUUCGGAGAAAGUGUUUAUAGCCUUUGGCCUCUGCAAUCGGAGAGAUUGAGGUCUGCAGCGUAGAUCCUUCGGGGUUAGAUACAUUUGUGCUAAGUUAUAGCCUUUCAUAGACAACUUGUUGACUAUGAUCAGUCAUGUAGCUUACUCGCUUAUGCUAUUUUACCUACGCUUAGGAUGUUGAUGUGAUACUGCGAGCA
rnacentral:rRNA from 1 species